rnacentral:rRNA from 1 species
UGGGGAAUAUUGGACAAUGGGGGCAACCCUGAUCCAGCCAUGCCGCGUGAGUGAAGAAGGCCUUAGGGUUGUAAAGCUCUUUCACCCGUGACGAUGAUGACGGUAGCGGGAGAAGAAGCCCCGGCUAAUUCCGUGCCAGCAGCCGCGGUAAUACGGAAGGGGCUAGCGUUGUUCGGAAUUACUGGGCGUAAAGCGCGCGUAGGCGGCCAUGCAAGUGAGGCGUGAAAGGCCUGGGCUCAACCUGGGAACU